CACAAGCGUGGAUGAUGUGGUUUAAUUCGAUGCAACGCGAAAACCUUACCACCUUUGACAUGUACGGAAUCCUCUAGAGAUAGAGGAGUGCUCGAAAGAGAGCCGUAACACAGGUGCUGCAUGGCUGUCGUCAGCUCGUGUCGUGAGAUGUUGGGUUAAGUCCCGCAACGAGCGCAACCCUUGUCAUUAGUUGCUACGAAAGGGCACUCUAAUGAGACUGCCGGUGACAAACCGGAGGAAGUGGGGAUGACGUCAAGUCCUCAUGGCCCUUAUAGGUGGGGCUACACACGUCAUACAAUGGCUGGUACAAAGGGUUGCCAACCCGCGAGGGGGAGCCAAUCCCAUAAAGCCAGUCGUAGUCCGGAUCGCAGUCUGCAACUCGACUGCGUGAAGUCGGAAUCGCUAGUAAUCGUGGAUCAGCAUGUCACGGUGAAUACGUUCCCGGGUCUU
rnacentral:rRNA from 1 species